rnacentral:rRNA from 1 species
UACGAAGGGGGCUAGCGUUGCUCGGAAUCACUGGGCGUAAAGGGUGCGUAGGCGGGUCUUUAAGUCAGGGGUGAAAUCCUGGAGCUCAACUCCAGAACUGCCUUUGAUACUGAAGAUCUUGAGUUCGGGAGAGGUGAGUGGAACUGCGAGUGUAGAGGUGAAAUGCGUAGAUAUCGGGAGGAACAUCAGUGGCGAAGGCGGCCUUCUGGUCCAGUACUGACACUCAAGUGCGAAAGCGUGGGGAGCAAACAGG